AUGAGCCAUCACAAUCCAUAAUUAUAGUUUUGGUGCCAUAUGGGUUAUGAUUAAGCUCAUCUGCAAUUCAAAUCGUCAAAUUAUAUAAUGUCCUUCAUGUCCUUACAAUUCUUCUCUGAAAAUUGGUAGUUUGGAACGGUAGAUAGUUUGUAGCAAUCACAUGAUUCUUAUAAAAACAAAUAAAAAAAGCUGUAUUUAUUGGCCUGAGGUUCCUUUUGGAAUUUCUCUCUCUUCACUUUAUCCCUCUCUCUUUCGUCCUGCACUGCCUUGUCCAUUUUAAGAUCCAUUAAGGAAAGCAAAUAAAAGGAAGAAACCAAAAAAACCCACAAGAAAGUGGCAUCUUUGGCUUUGCUUUGCUUUGCUUUACCUUUGAUUUGAAGGAAAAGCAAGGCAAAGAUGAAGAAGCUUUGAUAAAAUUGAGGUGGGGGAAGACCUGAAAUGAUGCAGUCCACAAAAAGAUUCAAAAGAAAAGAGGGAAAGCCAUACAAACAAGAAAAGGUUGUCAAAGAAGAAUAUUAAACUUGCUUAGAGAAAGUAUUAACUAUCUUAUGUCCUGUUCCAAAUCACUGUUUCCUUCAACUUUGGUUUACUUGUUCCUUGUAUAAACAUCUCAUCAUUUAUUAUACAAAUUACAACAGAGAUUAGUUAUUCCA